CUACGGGGGGCAGCAGUGAGGAAUAUUGGACAAUGGAGGCAACUCUGAUCUAGCCAUGCCGCGUGCAGGAAGACGGCCCUAUGGGUUGUAAACUGCUUUUAUACGGGAAGAAACCCAACUACGUGUAGUUGGCUGACGGUACCGUAAGAAUAAGCACCGGCUAACUCCGUGCCAGCAGCCGCGGUAAUAUCGGGAGGGUGCAAGCGUUAUCCGGAAUCAUUGGGUUUAAAGGGUCCGUAGGCGGACUGAUAAGUCAGGGGUGAAAUCCAACAGCUUAACUGUUGAACUGCCUUUGAUACUGUUAGUCUUGAAUUAUAUGGAAGUAGAUAGAAUGUGUAGUGUAGCGGUGAAAUGCUUAGAGAUUACACAGAAUACCGAUUGCGAAGGCAGUCUACUACGUAUAUAUUGACGCUAAUGGACGAAAGCGUGGGGAGCGAACAGGAUUAGAUACCCCGGUAGUC
rnacentral:rRNA from 1 species